AUUGAACGCUGGCGGCAGGCCUAACACAUGCAAGUCGAACGAGUGGCGGACGGGUGAGUAAUGUCUGGGAAACUGCCCGAUGGAGGGGGAUAACUACUGGAACCGGUAGCUAAUACCGCAUACCAUCGGAUGUGCACAGAUGGGAUUUGCUAGUAGGUGGGGUAACGGCAAACCUAGGCGACGAUCCCUAGCUGGUCUGAGAGGAUGACAAGCCACAGUGGAACUGAGACACGGUCCAGAGUCGUACGGGAGGCAGCGGUGGGGAAUAUUGCACAAUGGGCGCAAGCAUGAUGCAGCCAUGCCGCGUGUAUGAAGAAGGCCUGCGGGUUGUAAAGUACUUUCAGCGGGGAGGCGUUACCCGCAGAAGAAGCACCGGCUAACUCCGUGCCAGCAGCCGCGGUAAUAC
rnacentral:rRNA from 1 species